UUUUGGGUUAGUGACCUCGUCCCCACAUCAUGCUGGAUCAAUACUUCUCUAAGUUUAUCACAAAACUGUUUGACUAAACCCCCUGUAGGUACAUAUAUGGAGGUUAAAGGAGAGUAGAAUGAGCAGUCAUGACAUAAACCGGACUUGUUUCUCAUUUUCUUGCAGACUGGAUCACUGGGAGAGACGAUGCGUGUGUGUGUGUGUGUGUGUGUGUGUGUGUGUGUGUGUUAGUGUUUUAUAAAGUGUCUUUUUCAGUGCUCUCACUAUUCUUACAGCACGAAGGGUCAUGUGGAUCAGCCAUCUUUACUGAACAGAGUCUGUGAUUCCUGAUCGAAGGCAUAACGGAUCAUUCAGAAGAGACCAUCUGCACGGUUCCCGCCACUAUCCACUCAACUGACAGACGUGUAAACGCAACGAUAAUCGCUAACAUUCACACAUAACCAGAGCGAGAGCCAGCUGCUGAACGAAAGACAAGAGAGGGACAAAGUUUAGAUAAAGGUCCAGCUAUCACAGGUUGCCCUCGGUCUGAGUAUAGACCCAGUGCUGGAAGGCGCAGCAUUUCUGUCCCGCCUCGGAGUCUCUGCGCAUCAGGUUGAUCUCCUUCCCGUCCUUCACGGAGUACUUCACAAAAUCUCCCAGCAGCUCCU